CAGCAGCCGCGGGAACACGUAGGGUGCGAGCGUUAAUCGGAAUUACUGGGCGUAAAGCGUGCGCAGGCGGUUAUAUAAGACAGAUGUGAAAUCCCCGGGCUCAACCUGGGACCUGCAUUUGUGACUGUAUAGCUAGAGUACGGUAGAGGGGGAUGGAAUUCCGCGUGUAGCAGUGAAAUGCGUAGAUAUGCGGAGGAACACCGAUGGCGAAGGCAAUCCCCUGGACCCGUACCGACGCUCAUGCACGAAAGCGUGGGGAGCAAACAGGAUUAGAGACCCCUGUAGUCCCUGUCUCUUAUAC
rnacentral:rRNA from 1 species